AAGAGGAACAGCAACAGUGGCUGCGGCAAGCUCUCCAGCCCUGGAUUCAGCUCCUGCAGUAACUACGGAGCUCUCAGUCUGCAGGGUCCUGGAUGCUCCGGGGGCAC
rnacentral:pre_miRNA from 1 species